AUUGAACGCUGGCGGCAUGCCUUACACAUGCAAGUCGAACGGUAACAGGUCUUCGGGUGCUGACGAGUGGCGAACGGGUGAGUAAUACAUCGGAACGUGCCUAGUAGUGGGGGAUAACUACUCGAAAGAGUGGCUAAUACCGCAUGAGAUCUACGGAUGAAAGCAGGGGAUCGCAAGACCUUGUGCUACUAGAGCGGCCGAUGGCAGAUUAGGUAGUUGGUGGGAUAAAAGCUUACCAAGCCGACGAUCUGUAGCUGGUCUGAGAGGACAAUCAGCCACACUGGGACUGAGACACGGCCCAGACUCCUACGGGAGGCAGCAGUGGGGAAUUUUGGACAAUGGGCGAAAGCCUGAUCCAGCAAUGCCGCGUGCAGGAUGAAGGCCUUCGGGUUGUAAACUGCUUUUGUACGGAACGAAAAGCCCCGGGUUAAUACCCUGGGGUCAUGACGGUACCGUAAGAAUAAGCACCGGCUAACUACGUGCCAGCAGCCGCCGUAA
rnacentral:rRNA from 1 species